AACAUGAUGGGCCGUUUUUUUGGAGCUAG
rnacentral:piRNA from 1 species